rnacentral:rRNA from 1 species
GACGAACGCUGGCGGCGUGCCUAAUACAUGCAAGUCGAACGAGUGGCGGACGGGUGAGUAACACGUGGGAACCUACCCAUCAGAGGGGGAUAACUAAGGGAAACUGUAGCUAAUACCGCGUACCAUAGGAUGAGCCAAAGUGGGAUUAGGUAGUUGGUGAGGUAAAGGCUCACCAAGCCUACGAUUUCUAGCUGGUCUGAGAGUAGUACCGGCCACACUGGGACUGAGACACGGCCCAGACUCCUACGGGAGGCAGCUGUGGGGAAUAUUGCGCAAUGGGGGCAACCUGACGCAGCCAUGCCGCGUGAAUGAAGAAGGCCUUCGGGUUGUAAAGUUCUUUCGGUAGCGAGGCGUUAACGACAGAAGAAGCACCGGCUAACUCCGUGCCAGCCGCCGCGGUAAUAC